AGAGUUUGAUUAUGGCUCAGGAUGAACGCUGGCGGCGUGCUUAACACAUGCAAGUCGAGCGGAGAUAAGAUAAAAGCUUGCUUUUAACUUAUCUUAGCGGCGGACGGGUGAGUAACGUGUGGGCAACCUGCCUCAUACAGAGGGAUAAUCAUGUGAAAACGUGACUAAUACCUCAUGUCAUUGCUAGAAGGCAUCUUCAGGCAAGAAAAGGAGUAAUCCGGUAUGAGAUGGGCCCGCAUCUGAUUAGCUAGUUGGUGAGAUAAUAGCCCACCAAGGCAACGAUCAGUAGCCGACCUGAGAGGGUGAUCGGCCACAUUGGGACUGAGACACGGCCCAA
rnacentral:rRNA from 1 species